GAUGAACGCUAGCUACAGGCUUAACACAUGCAAGUCGCGGGGCAGCAUGGGGGUUGCUUGCAAUCCCCGAUGGCGACCGGCGCACGGGUGAGUAACGCGUAUCCAACCUGCCCUUCACCACGGGAUAACCCGGCGAAAGUCGGACUAAUACCGUAUGUUGUCCAUUGACGGCAUCCGAUUUGGACGAAAGGCUGGGCGGUGGGGGAUGGGGAUGCGUCCGAUUAGCCAGACGGCGGGGUAACGGCCCACCGUGGCUACGAUCGGUAGGGGUUCUGAGAGGAAGGUCCCCCACACUGGAACUGAGACACGGUCCAGACUCCUACGGGAGGCAGCAGUGAGGAAUAUUGGUCAAUGGGCGUAAGCCUGAACCAGCCAAGUAGCGUGCAGGAUGACGGCCCUAUGGGUUGUAAACUGCUUUUAUGCGGGGAUAAAGUGGCCCACGUGUGGGCUUUUGCAGGUACCGCAUGAAUAAGGACCGGCUAAUUCCGUG
rnacentral:rRNA from 1 species